rnacentral:tRNA from 1 species
AGCCUCGUGGUGUAUAACACACUGGAUUGCAAAUCUAAAGAUGUAGGGUAAUUCCCUGCCGGGGCUU